rnacentral:rRNA from 1 species
UGGGGAAUUUUGGACAAUGGGCGCAAGCCUGAUCCAGCAAUGCCGCGUGCAGGAUGAAGGCCUUCGGGUUGUAAACUGCUUUUGUACGGAACGAAAAAGCUCUCUCUAAUACAGGGGGUGAAUGACGGUACCGUAAGAAUAAGCACCGGCUAACUACGUGCCAGCAGCCGCGGUAAUACGUAGGGUGCAAGCGUUAAUCGGAAUUACUGGGCGUAAAGCGUGCGCAGGCGGUUUUGUAAGACAGAGGUGAAAUCUCCGGGCUCAACCUGGGAACUGCCUUUGUGACUGCAAAGCUGGAGUGCGGCAGAGGGGGAUGGAAUUCCGCGUGUAGCAGUGAAAUGCGUAGAUAUGCGGAGGAACACCGAUGGCGAAGGCAAUCCCCUGGGCCUGCACUGACGCUCAUGCACGAAAGCGUGGGGAGCAAACA